GACAACUAAUUUCUUUUCUCUUUUUAUAUACCAUAGACUUGAAAAACAAGGGCGAAGAUUAGUUUUGAUGAUUAGCUGCUUAAAAUAAACUGUUUCAUAUAAAUUUUUGAAGAAGCAAAGUUUGAAGCAUUCCUUACAAAAAAAGAUUUGUAUAAAUGACCUUUUAAAUUAUGUCUUUUAGAUUUUUAAGCAGUUAUAUAUAUUACAUGUGAAAUCAGUGUAUAUAAUAUUAAGAUUAGGAGAUGACUUUGUUACUUCUGAUAGAGAUUUAAUUUAAUUGCUGCUGACUAUUUUCAAUGUCAAAUGAGGUAACAGACUUUCAAAUAAUCAGCAGUUAAACUUUAUUUUUCUAAAAAAUAAAAAGUGCCGAAUCUUCAUAUAACACUACAAUACACUUCAGCUUUUGGUUGUUAGCCAACAGUGAUCCAGGUUUCAUAAACAUUACUUGUACACCAUUACAGACAAGGAAGAAUCCAUACAUUAUUAGAAAUAAAUGUUAACUUGUUUACCAGAUGACCUAAGUGUUUUUUUCUUUGGUGAAUCAGGCAUGCUAUAUGCUAUAUUUGUGUAGAUGCAGUAUUGUGUCAAGCACAGACACAGUGAAUUAAAAAUGGGGGUCCUAGCUGAUUCACCCAGAUUUUGAGUUCCUCUUUAUAAGACAGAAAACUGAAGGUAAAAUUUCUUCCAUUUCCCUAAAAUAACCAACAAUUUAGUGUUUUUAUGGGAAUUACUGAAUGAAACACUGCUGUUAAAAAUCACAUUGAUAGACCAACUUAGCAGUAAAGUUAACCACACUAUGAAAUUAAUUGCAAUUUAUCUAGCAAAAUGAAAAGGUGUUUCUUCCAUAGCUACUACUUUUAUCUGAUCACUGCUGAUAAUGCAGGCCCAUGCUUGUACACAGACACAUAAUAUCUGUCUGUAGAGAGUUUUGUAAUUGAGCCUUUGAAUAGGAAUGUAUUUCGUCAGCCUUUUGCAAAUGAGCGAUGACAACACAGAAGAGACUGCUUGCUGCUUCCCUUCCACAUCACUGCUGUACUUUUGCUAUUCUUUAUUGAGAGCACUAAGGAUAUUUAUUAAUAAAAAUUGAAAAGCAGUUAUUAUUUAUAGUUUAAUAAGUAAUGUUUUUAGUUCUGUAGCAGAAAAAAAUUAUUAUAAGACUCAAGCAAGUUUUCACCAAAAAAGAAAGACUAUGUUUUAUAUUCAUUAGUAUAGUAGACUUCUGCAAUUUUUUUUUGUUUUAAAAACUCCAUAGCACUCAAGAUAACAAAAAAAGGUUUAAGGAAUGACCUUAUUACAUCCUGUAGCUGUGUAAGUUUCAAGUUUUCUAUUUGUCUUAGUGGUUGUCUCACUCCAAUUUAUAGGAGGGAGAGGAGGUUCUCUGAUACAUGUAUACCUGGCGUGAGAUUAAGAAAUAAUGGUUCAAAUGUUGGUCCGACCAGUUUAUUACAAAUCUUAAGAAGGGAGAUGGGGAAAGGGAGGACAGACACUAUUAUGGAUUAGAGUGAUGGGGAAGGGACAGCGAGCGAUAGAAAAGAAAGGAAAUAGAAGCGAGGAGUCUUUAUAGGUACAAAUUAGAGUGAUGGGGAAGGGAAGAAGGGAAGCAGAAAAGAUAGGAAAUAGGAGCAAGCAGCUCUGGAGGAAGGUGCCUUCAAAUGUCGAAGUGAUGUUGAUUGUCACAUGGUAGCACCCAUCAUUUGCCACCUCCAUAAAUCAGUUAGAGUCUUAUCAGUUAGAUUCUUAGUGUCUUCACAAGAAAUACUUCAGGAAGCAAGCUUUGAGACAGAAGACAAAGAAGGGUUCUCACAGUGGUAAAAAUAAAAAUGUUUUUCUCGAAGUCAUUCUGAUCAGAUAGGAGAUGCCGGUAAAGGCAGCAGUGGGAAAAAGCUGUUGGAGAAGAACUGAUGUCUUAACUUUCCAGUAAGUGUUCUUAAUCCAGUAAAGAAAUAAAUUCUGAAAGAACUGAUGGAAUAUUUGCAGCAGCAGAAAUAAUGUAUGCAAUAGCACUGACAAUCCUGCAAGCCAUAAGACCUACUGUGUAUACACAAAGCUACAGUGCACAUGGGCAGGAUUAUUUGGCAUUGUUUAGAUUCUGGAUAUGGUAGAUGCCUGGUACAUAUAAG
ensembl:lncRNA